rnacentral:rRNA from 1 species
CCUACGGGAGGCAGCAGUGAGGAAUAGUGGUCAAUGGGCGCGAGCCUGAACCAGCCAAGUCGCGUGAGGGAAGACGGUCCUAUGGAUUGUAAACCUCUUAUGGCGGGGAGCAAAAGACGCCACGCGUGGCGUUCCGAGAGUACCCGAAGAAAAAGCAUCGGCUAAAUCCGUGCCAGAAGCCGCGGUAAUACGGAGGAUGCGAGCGUUAUCCGGAUUGAUUGGGUUUAAAGGGUGCGCAGGCGGAAGAUCAAGUCAGCGGUAAAGUUGAGAGGCUCAACCUCUUCGAGCCGUUGAAACUGGUUUUCUUGAGUGAGUGAGAAGUAUGCGGAAUGCGUGUUGUAGCGGUGAACUGCAUAGAUAGCACGCAGAACUCCGAUUGCGAAGGCAGCAUACCGGCGCUCAACUGACGCUCAUGCACGAAAGUGUGGGUAUCGAACAGGAUUAGAUACCCUUGUAGUC